AACAGAACACGGCAGAGUAGAAUACAACAGAACACGGCAGAGUAGAAUACAACAGAACACGGCAGAGUAGAACAGGUGAUGAUACAAAAUAGCUAACAUCCAUUCAUUCUUCAUACAUUCUUGUACAAAACACUUCCACUCUUUGUGAUGGAUGGGUGUGUUGCUCUGAUUGUUCCUCUAGUCAGGGCCUGAUUUAGACCUGGGACACCAGGUGGGUGAUUCCUCUCUAAUCAGGGCUUGAUUUAGACCUGGGACACCAGGUGGGUGAUUCCUCUCUAAUCAGGGCUUGAUUUAGACCUGGGACACCAGGUGGGUGAUUCCUCUCUAAUCAGGGACUGAUUUAGACCUGGGACACCAGGUGGGUGAUUCCUCUCUAAUCAGGGACUGAUUUAGACCUGGGACACCAGGUGGGUGAUUCCUCUCUAAUCAGGGACUGAUUUAGACCUGGGACACCAGGUGGGUGAUUCCUCUCUAAUCAGGGACUGAUUUAGACCUGGGACACCAGGUGGGUGAUUCCUCUCUAAUCAGGGACUGAUUUAGACCUGGGACACCAGGUGGGUGAUUCCUCUCUAAUCAGGGACUGAUUUAGACCUGGGACACCAGGUGGGUGAUUCCUCUCUAAUCAGGGACUGAUUUAGACCUGGGACACCAGGUGGGUGAUUCCUCUCUAAUCAGGGACUGAUUUAGACCUGGGACACCAGGUGGGUGAUUCCUCUCUAAUCAGGGACUGAUUUAGACCUGGGACACCAGGUGGGUGAUUCCUCUCUAAUCAGGGACUGAUUUAGACCUGGGACACCAGGUGGGUGAUUCCUCUCUAAUCAGGGACUGAUUUAGACCUGGGACACCAGGUGGGUGAUUCCUCUCUAAUCAGGGACUGAUUUAGACCUGGGACACCAGGUGGGUGAUUCCUCUCUAAUCAGGGACUGAUUUAGACCUGGGACACCAGGUGGGUGAUUCCUCUCUAAUCAGGGACUGAUUUAGACCUGGGACACCAGGUGGGUGAUUCCUCUCUAAUCAGGGACUGAUUUAGACCUGGGACACCAGGUGGGUGAUUCCUCUCUAAUCAGGGACUGAUUUAGACCUGGGACACCAGGUGGGUGAUUCCUCUCUAAUCAGGGACUGAUUUAGACCUGGGACACCAGGUGGGUGAUUCCUCUCUAAUCAGGGACUGAUUUAGACCUGGGACACCAGGUGGGUGAUUCCUCUCUAAUCAGGGACUGAUUUAGACCUGGGACACCAGGUGGGUGAUUCCUCUCUAAUCAGGGACUGAUUUAGACCUGGGACACCAGGUGGGUGAUUCCUCUCUAAUCAGGGCCUGAUUUAGACCUGGGACACCAGGUGGGUGAUUCCUCUCUAAUCAGGGCCUGAUUUAGACCUGGGACACCAGGUGGGUGAUUCCUCUCUAAUCAGGGACUGAUUUAGACCUGGGACACCAGGUGGGUGAUUCCUCUCUAAUCAGGGACUGAUUUAGACCUGGGACACCAGGUGGGUGCAAUGUAUCAUCAAGUAGAACAGAAAACCAGCAGUUCUCCGGAACAUAGGGUAGGAUUUCAAUACCCCGGCCUAGGUUGGAGACAUGGGUUGGAACGAGUCAUAUUCACAAGCUUUGGAAAAUAAACUGAUUCCUGUCUAGAAUUUUCCUCAUUCAUGCAAAGAGUUAUGGGAUAUUAGAAGCAUUCUGGACUCGUCCUUCAAGUUUUCCAACUAAAAGAUCUACAGGAAGUACCUCUCCAUAUCCACAGCAAUAAAACAAAAUAUAUUUUUUGCUUGGUUCAGCUGAACAACUAUCAAAUGUAGUUUAGUCCCAAAGCUAAAAAAAAAAAAAGAAGACACAUAAAAUACUUCUUAGGAAGAGUUGAAUGGGAGCAGUGGAUUCUG